rnacentral:lncRNA from 1 species
CCAUGAUUUCUCGAAUUGCGGUGGGAGAGACGCCGUCUCCGUCCUUGGACUGCUUGAACUUCUUGAUGGCUAUGGAUUUGGAACGGUUGGACUUUAUCUUGGCCAAGAAAACAAGGCCAUAGGUUCCUUCCCCGAUUUUGCCGAUCACGUCGUACUGCUCCAGCCACUCCGGCUUGCUACUGCUGUUGCUUCCCGAAUUGCUCACUCUUCCGUCCCCCAUAUACGCGAUUCAAUUACUUUUUUUCUUAUUGUGUUGCGGUAUGUGAUGGUUAUGUUUCAGCACCUGAAAUUGAAACUGAAAUUUUUGGGGAAAACCAUCUCCGAUCCAAGCUUUGGCAAUGGCCGGGAAAGAAGAGUAUUUACGUCUAUUUAUACAAUUGAAACCGCUGUAUGUCGCGUUCGCGUUUCUAUCCGCAUCACUUCCUUAGUCGCAAUUCAGAUUUUUAGUCUCAUGUGUUUACUCACAAACUUCAAAUCAUACUUAAUACUUACUACGUGCUAAUGUGUAAAAAAUAAAAUGCCUAAUCUAGUAAUGGAGCUGGUUUGGUGGAUGACUGAUGAGAUACAUAAAAUUAAUAUGAUUCGAGGAUGCUUGAAUAAUUUAUCAAACUCUGAGGUGAACAAGAUGACACAGAUGGUUAACAAGAUGACCUAGCACUUGAACAAGUACAAACAAUUCUACGAAGAGGACAUGACAAGAACCGAGUCCAUGGUAAUAGAAAAAUGGAUCGUGCUAAAAAACAACUAAUCUUUCAAGUUCCAGAUAAGAUGAUAUUCAAGAGCCAGUUACAAUCUUUUAAGCUCAAGAUAGUGACACUUAAAAGAUAAUCAAUACUAUAACAUUUCAAGCUUCAUACAAGAUUAUGUUAAGAAGUUCGAUAUUCAAGAGUCAAAUAUUAUCUUCCGAGCUCUAGAUGAUAAUUUGGUCUUACAGGGUUUAGAUGAGAUGAUGCUCAAAUGGCAGAUGUGAUCUUAAAUUAAUUCGUAUUUGUCAAUUUGAAAAAGUUGUACAAAAUUAAUAAAUAUUGUCUACAUACGAUUAACAAUAGAUGCGGUACAUCAAUCCCUCCAUCAUAUUUUCCAUAGAAUUUAUAUAUUUUUUCUUAUUAUUUUUAAUCUAAAAUCCUUCGAUCUCGCAUUUAUCUUUUUUUAAACUUUAUCAAAUAAAAUUUUAUGUGAAAUGAUACUUUUAUUAUUUUAACUAAACUUUGAGAUUUAAUCAGCAAAAAUAACCAUGUCACAUCAAAUUAAAUUAAUUAAAAUAAUAAUUUAUAUACAAAUAACUUUAUUAUAUAAAGUAAUUUAAAUUAUGACACAAAGUCUGAGGGGUUACACGAGUUAUGAAAUACUAGUAACAUUUAUAAUUGGUAGCACCAACAUGUUCAUCCUAUAUAGGGAUCCAAGGCCGCAGCUCCGAAUUCCUUGCAGCUCGUACCAUGCAACAGCAGCGACGAGCUAAACCCUAGCUUCGAGGCAGGCACAUCAAACUCCAGCAGAUGAUUCUCCAGCUGAUAACCCGCCACAACUAUCGACGUCGUAGGCCCUGUUGUAUUCGGCUCCUCCUCCACGAACGCCAGGCACAUCACGCCCUUCCCAACUCUCACCAUCGUGUUCCACCCAUAAAACCGCCAGUACACCUUCUUCCUCUGCAGAAUCAGAUCCACAGUCGGCACGUCGCCUCCACUCUUGAUCGUCUUCGAAUCGAAGCAAGCCCCGAACGGAGCCACGGACGCCACUCUCUUCAUCCCCUUGCCUGCAGCGGCCUUCACGAACUCCUCCACCAGAGCUGCGUAGAUCGAUCCGUGCAGGCUCGUAUACGCCCUCACCGUUCGUAAGCUCGUGCCUCCUUCUCCGGUCACCUUGUCGAUCGACAGCAGAGUUUUGUUCAAGGCGAGAGCCGUUCCGCCAACUCUGAUGGACUUGACGCCGAUGAAAUACGCGAUGGAGAGAUUGCCGAUCACUUGGUCGCCAAAGCCUUUCCAUGGAUUUCUGAGCAAGGGCGUGGUCCACAUUGAUUCCGAGAUCCGUCGGAAAGGUCCUCUGUAGACCUCCUGGCCGGCGAUCAUGUACCCGUUGCCGCCCGAAGGCGGGAUGCAGAGGGCCAGCUUGUUGCGGAUUUUGAAAGCGGAUGAAAGCUGCGACUGGAGCGAAAGCCUAGUUCGGCCUAGGGCGAGGAGGCCCGCCGUGGGGGUUGCGAGGCCUUGGCUUAAGAUGGGGUCCGAGUAUUGGAAGGGGAAAUUUAGCUUAUAUUGGGUGCCGCGUGUCGACAAGGCCAGCAUGACGUCCGUGCUUAGGCCGCUGUAGCCAUUGGUGCCGGUGAAGGGGUUGAGGGCCCAGUCGGCGCAUGUGUUGUUGGAGCAUCCCGGCGCCGCUGCCGAGAAGCAGAAGACACAACCGACUCCAUUGGCAAUGCGGCACUGGUUGGUGCCGCAGAGGAUGGGGCGGUAGGUGUUGGCGGCGGAGAAGUAGUCGAGGGAGUUGAACCAUAGGAAAUUGCCACCGAGAUCGAUCCCCACGUUGAGUGUGGUGGCGUUGGAGCCUAGUUGGAUAGUUGUGUAGUAUUGGUUGGUUGUGCCAUCUUUUCUUAUUGGGAAAUGAAGGCUUUAGGGGAUGUUAGAGCAUUUGAAAACAAGGAUGAAAGGAGCAACGAGGAAAUUAUCAAGACCGGAACACUAGGGGAAGCCAUCAUGGUUGUAUUGUGGGUGAAGCUCUUGGAAUGGAUGCAUGUUUAUUUAUUAAGUUUUGGAAUAGGAUGCCAGCUAAUCAGCAUUAUAUUUCAAAUCAUAUUGUCAGGUUGGUCCCCAGCUGAAUCCGUUGUUUAUUUCUCCACUUACGUAUAUUUAAGUAAUACAAUGAAUAGUGAUAGUUCUUUUGCAUUCUGUAUGCUUUCAAUGAAAUUAUGAAACACUAACCAAUUAUAACCAAGAACGCACUACAAUAUUAAUACAUUUGUGCUUAUCAUCACAAUCCCACAAACCGAUCAUAAACACACAACCCCACACAUAGAGUCCAACCUAGGCAGCUCCAAACCGGUUGCANAAGAAAGAAAACAGAACCCCCUUGAAACAGACGAGAACAAACACCGCAGUUAAGACAAACACACGCACUGCUAAUUAAGGGCAUAAUACAGGACAAGAAGGUCAGAAACAUUGAAUUCGGAGGGCGUAAUUUCACCAUGAUUUCUCGAAUUGCGGUGGGAGAGACGCCGUCACCGUCCUUGGACUGCUUGAACUUCUUGAUGGCUAUGGAUUUGGAACGGUUGGACUUUAUCUUGGCCAAGAAAACAAGGCCAUAGGUUCCUUCCCCGAUUUUGCCGAUCACGUCGUACUGCUCCAGCCACUCCGGCUUGCUACUGCUGUUGCUUCCCGAAUUGCUCACUCUUCCGUCCCCCAUAUACGCGAUUCAAUUACUUUUUUUCUUAUUGUGUUGCGGUAUGUGAUGGUUAUGUUUCAGCACCUGAAAUUGAAACUGAAAUUUUUGGGGAAAACCAUCUCCGAUCCAAGCUUUGGCAAUGGCCGGGAAAGAAGAGUAUUUACGUCUAUUUAUACAAUUGAAACCGCUGUAUGUCGCGUUCGCGUUUCUAUCCGCAUCACUUCCUUAGUCGCAAUUCAGAUUUUU